rnacentral:rRNA from 1 species
GACGAACGCUGGCGGCGUGCUUAAUACAUGCAAGUCAACUGAACUUAAGAUAGCAAUAUUUUAAGGGAGGUGGCGCACGGGUGAGUAACACGUAGGUAAUCUGCCUUUAGGACUGACAUAACCCAGAGAAAUCUGGGCUAAUAUCAGAUGAUGCAGCGGCUCGACAUCGAGACAGUUGUUAAACCUUCGGGGCCUAGAGAUGAGCCUGCGUCUGAUUAGGUAGUUGGCGGAGUAAAAGCCCACCAAGCCUGCGAUCAGUAGCUGGUCUGAGAGGAUGAUCAGCCACACUGGAACUGAGACACGGUCCAGACUCCUACGGGAGGCAGGCUAGUAAGGAAUAUUGCUCAAUGGCCGAAAGGCUGAAGCAGCAACGCCGCGUGGAGGACGAAAUACUUUUGUAUGUAAACUCCUGUAAGAAGGGAAAAUAUUCCGAUUUAUCGGGAUUGAUUGUA